CCAAAUCAAGUUUGCUUACAGAACCUAAAUUACGGGAAAUAGAUGUAACAUAAAGAGUGUGAUAUAAAUCUAGACAAAAUUCACCAUCUAAAUGAGACGAUAGGUGCCAAUAGCUUCCACUGGCGCCUUGUCUCGAUUUCUCAUCAAUAAGUAGUUUUCACUUGAAUUUAUAGUCUGGAUCGUAAGGAAUCCCUGUACGGAAUUCGUUACAUGUAUAUUAGCACAACUAUCAAUCCACCAAGCUUUAGUAGAGACAUGAGUAUGAUUAGAUUCGAAAAAGCUUACGGAACCCAUAGGAUUACCUUUCUUUUCGAACCAUUCUCUUCUUUUAGUACAAUCUUU
rnacentral:lncRNA from 1 species